GUUUGGAUUAGGGUUUGGUUUAGGGUUUAGGAUUUGGAUUAGGGUUUGGUUUAGGGUUUAGGAUUUGGAUAGGGUUUGGUUUAGGAUUUAGGAUUUGAAUUAGGAUUUGGUUUAGGAUUUAGGGUUUGGAUUAGGAUUUGGUUAGGGAUUAAGGUUUGAUUAGGAUUUGGUUUAGGAUUUAAGGUUUAUCUAGGGUUUGAUUAAGGUUGGAUUAGGAUUAGGAUUUGAUUAGAAUUUAAGGUUCUAUUAGAUUUUUGUUAGGAUUUGACUAAUUUUUCUUUAAUAUUCUUUUAUAUUUCUUUAGGAUUUCCUUGUGUUUCUUUUAUAACUUCAAUAAAAUUUAAUUGAGCUUGCUUAAUGUUUGAUUAUGAUUUUUAAUGUUUAAUUAUAAAUUUUCUAUAAUCCUAUUGGAUUGUUAGGACAUUUUGUUGUAAUUUUCUUUUACCUUCCACAGCCAGUUGUUCAGUGCAUUCUCAAGCAAGACUUCACGUAAUACGACACCACAUUCUUUUUUUCAAAUACAUCUUGAAAUUCUUGAUAUUGGCUUGGAAUGCCAUGUGAAGUCUUU
rnacentral:lncRNA from 1 species